CGUAGGGUGCGAGCGUUAAUCGGAAUUACUGGGCGUAAAGCGUGCGCAGGCGGUUUAGUAAGACAGGCGUGAAAUCCCCGGGCUCGACCUGGGAACUGCGCUUGUGACUGCUAAGCUAGAGUACGGCAGAGAGGGGUGGAAUUCCACGUGUAGCAGUGAAAUGCGUAGAGAUGUGGAGGAACACCAAUGGCGAAGGCAGCCCCCUGGGUCGAUACUGACGCUCAUGCACGAAAGCGUGGGUAGCAAACAGGAUUAGAUACCCUGGUAGUCCACGCCCUAAACGAUGUCAACUAGGUGUUGGGAGGGUAAAACCUUUUAGUACCGGAGCUAACGCGUGAAGUUGACCGCCUGGGGAGUACGGCCGCAAGGUUA
rnacentral:rRNA from 1 species